CCUACGGGUGGCUGCAGUGGGGAAUUUUGGACAAUGGGCGCAAGCCUGAUCCAGCCAUGCCGCGUGAGUGAAGAAGGCCUUCGGGUUGUAAAGCUCUUUCGGCCGGGAAGAAAUCGUAUGGGUUAAUACCCUGUGCGGAUGACGGUACCGGCAUAAGAAGCACCGGCUAACUACGUGCCAGCAGCCGCGGUAAUACGUAGGGUGCGAGCGUUAAUCGGAAUUACUGGGCGUAAAGCGUGCGCAGGCGGUUUUGUAAGACAGGCGUGAAAUCCCCGGGCUCAACCUGGGAACUGCGCUUGUGACUGCAAGGCUAGAGUACGGCAGAGGGGGGUGGAAUUCCACGUGUAGCAGUGAAAUGCGUAGAGAUGUGGAGGAACACCAAUGGCGAAGGCAGCCCCCUGGGUCGAUACUGACGCUCAUGCACGAAAGCGUGGGUAGCAAACAGGAUUAGAUACCCGGGUAGUC
rnacentral:rRNA from 1 species